ACGGAGGGGCACCACCAGGAGUGGAGCCUGCGGUUUAUUUUCUCUCAACACGGAAAAUCUAACCCCGCCAAGACUGGGAGGUGACAGAUUAGUACUCUUUCUUCUUUCUUUGGGGGGGGGGGCGUGGCCGGCUUUAUUUGUGGAGAGAGUUUUGCGUGUUAAUCCCAAAACAAAAAAAACUCUCUCCUAAUUAAAAAAAUUGUUGGGUAAAAAAACCGGGAAGAACACCUUAAAAAAGGAGGGGGUUAAUCAGCACAAAAAAAAGAAAUAAUAAGUCUUGUAUGCCGCCAUAUGAUGGGGGGGGACCCAGGGGUAACUGAAGAAGCAAUGAGGGUUUUUUAAAUAACAGUCAGGAAGAGGACCAAAAAACGUUCUUCUUUGUGGGGGGGGGGGUUAUUUUUCCUUGGGGAGAAAGUCCUUUAACGCGAGCAAUAAUUGUCUCAUUAAUCAUGCCCUUUUUACACCACCGGCCGCCACUCAAAUGAAUGUAUUGUAGUGGGAUCUACUGAACUACACAAU
rnacentral:rRNA from 1 species